rnacentral:rRNA from 1 species
GUAGCGGUGAAAUGCUUAGAUAUCACGAAGAANUCCGAUUGCGAAGGCAGCUUGCUGGACUGUAACUGACGCUGAGGCACGAAAGCGUGGGGAUCAAACAGGAUUAGAUACCCUGGUAGUCCACGCCGUAAACGAUGAAUGCUAGCUGUUAGCGAUAUACUGUUAGCGGCACAGAGAAAUCGUUAAGCAUUCCACCUGGGGAGUACGCCGGCAACGGUGAAACUCAAAGGAAUUGACGGGGGCCCGCACAAGCGGAGGAACAUGUGGUUUAAUUCGAUGAUACGCGAGGAACCUUACCUGGGCUUAAAUUGCAGUGGAAUAACGUGGAAACAUGUUAGCCUUCGGGCCGCUGUGAAGGUGCUGCAUGGUUGUCGUCAGCUCGUGCCGUGAGGUGUCGGCUUAAGUGCCAUAACGAGCGCAACCCACAUCGAUAGUUACUAACAGGUUAAGCUGAGGACUCUAUCGAGACUGCCAGCGUAAGCUGUGAGGAAGGUGUGGAUGACGUCAAAUCAGCACGGCCCUUACGUCCGGGGCGACACACGUGUUACAAUGGGAGGUACAAAGGGCAGCUACCUGGCGACAGGAUGCUAAUCUCUAAAACCUUUCUCAGUUCGGAUUGGAGUCUGCAACUCGACUCCAUGAAGCUGGAUUCGCUAGUAAUCGCGCAUCAGCCAUGGCGCGGUGAAUACGUUCCCGGGCCUUGUACACACCGCCCGUCAAGCCAUGGAAGCUGGGGGUACCUGAAGUAUGCAACCGCAAGGAGCGUCCUAGGGUAAAACCGGUAACUGGGGCUAAGUCGUAACAGGUAGCCGU